rnacentral:lncRNA from 1 species
CAUAAAUUUUAGGGGGGUCAUUCACAUUGUACAUGCUUCUCCAUAAAAAUCAUCCUCACCCACCCUAGCCAUAAAUUAUGAACGGUCCCUAAUGAAUAUGUAAUUGUGGCCUCCUUGUACUCAACAUUGAUGACACAAUGAAGGAGAAACCAAAAUUUUCAUCAUUCAAUGGUACAAUUAUUGCUGAAAAUAAUGUCAUCCGUACCAUGAAUUCCUGAAAACAACACCAAUGGGAUUAUAUGAGCCUGAAAAUGAGAUCACAUAAAUAUGUACAUAUCCUUGAAAGUGAGAUCACAUAUGUACCAGUAUGUAUAGAUCCUUUAAAAGUGAGAUCACAGUGAGACCAAUGGUUGUAGCAAAGAGGUGUCAGUAUCGAGUGAAUAUAUUAACUGUAGUUGUAUAUAAAACAAACAUGUUAUUAUGUUUUCCCCUACUUUUAGGAAAACCGAUAUGAGAUGUCAUAAAGUGUUUGCUGUAGAAAGAGCUCACUGAACACAACCAUGCAGCUACUAGUAGUCACAUAUCCAACAUUGUAUUUUUGUCUACUUAUUCAACUCUUUUUUUAUAUUUACAUAUUAGUUUUAGUUUGUUAAAAACAUAUAGUGAGAACAUAUAACUCUGUAUCUGGUUUCAGACUCUCGUUUAAUGUGCGGGAUGUUUACUUCUGUUACACCAUACUGUAAAUUGUAGUCAAAGACUUCGGCCUCUAUAUUAUGGCCCUGGAAUGUGUAUAAUAUGCAUUUUGAUCAGUUACCAAGUUAAUAGCUUCCUUCAUUUUGAAUCAGUUUUGUGUUUGUAUCUUUUUGUGUUAAUCUAAAAAAAUACAGUUUGGUUCAAAUAGAAAAUACGUUUUCACUUUUGAUUUCAUUUUCUAAUCAUCGAUUUUAGCCCUGGCCAUUUGAACCCAUAAAUCUUAAAAAUGAAUGUGUACCCUUACCCCAUGAAUGUACCUUAAGAGAGUGAAAUGUAGCAUGCCAAGUAUUUUCACUUUAUUUCAGAAAUAAAAGUAAACGCAAAUAAUUUUCUGAUACAAACUGUCAGUUUCAAAUAUUUGCAAAGGCUGCUACUAUUUGCUGAUCAUACAAUGAAUGCAACGAUUAUUGUGCAUUAAUCAUGUUAAUCAUUGUUCCAGUUCUCACCAACGAUUAGCACAUUUUAGUGGUGAGAGCUAGAUUGAUUUUCAAUGUGAGAUGAAAUGAAUUUGUGAAUAUGUUGAUCUCCUAGUUCUUUGAGAAAUACUGAAGCAUAUUCUACAUAGAUCUGUUUAGUCUAUUGUUGUUCAUAAACAGAAUGGUAUUUAAUCCAAUAAUAGUAUACUGAUUUUAUUACUUCCAUAUCUUUACUCCAGUUUCGAAAUUUACAAUAUUUAUUAAAGCAUUUUACACAUUGCUCAAAUGUAUUGAAAUAUCCAAAUUUUGAUAAUUUGAUAUUUAUUCAAGUGUACAUAAUAUUGUUAUGUAAAUACACCCUUACUUUGGAACAGUGUACAUAUUUAUGUAGUGUAUUAUAUUACAUACAUGUUCCUACUUUUAGAUUGAAUUUACAAUAGUGUAUUAGUGCAUAUUGUACAACACUGAUUAUAAUUCAAUUAUUUAUGGUGCAAUGCAAGGUUGAAAAUUGAAUUAUGAAAUUUCAACAUUCUGUUUGUUAAAAUGGGUUGAAGUAUUCUUUGGUCAUGCUGGUAGUAUAUUAAAUUUUAUAAAGAUUUGUGAACAGUGUUUGGCCAUGGAUUUUUUGUGUACAGUAAAUCUAUAUGAUUGUCCAAAAAUGAUAGGAAUUUCUACCAAUGUUCAAUAAGGGGUGGGGUAGCCUUGAGGUUAAGGUGUUCACAAUUAUUCCAUUCCACAAGGGGUUACAAAGUGUCAAGCCCAUUGUUGCUGUUCCUGGCAAAGAUAUUGACUAAAUUAUUAAAUAUUGCUAAAAGCAACAUAAAACCAUACUCUUUCCAGUGUACACUGACAUAGAAACUUUUACAUUAAAGCAUAGGGCGGAAUACGGAGUAUUACAACUGUAAAUUAUAAAUAUAUUUUUAUGCCAUGUUUUUGAUGAAUGAAUGUUUGAUUGUCAUAUGUUUCGAUUAAUAAACAAGUAUUGGGAAUUUACAACAUUUGAUCCUUCCCUAUACAGUACAUAGUUGAGACUGUUUCUACUAUGAAUUUUCAGUUCAUGAUUUGGAACAAAUGCUAUAUCUUUAAAACCAGAUAUCUUUACAUUGUGAAUUGUAAAGGUCAUGCUUUGGAAAUACUUUACCCAUGUAGAACACAGAAAUGAAGAAUAUUGACGUGUGCAUUGCAAGGUCUUUGAAAGAUGUUACUGUCAGGUUUAUUCACUUAUAUAGCAGGGUGGGAGCAUGCAUGCGUUCAGCUCUUUGUAUUGGUUCUGACAUAUGCCAGUUCUAUAAGCUGUCACACUGCAGUUUAACAAGAGGGUGGUUUGUGAUCAUGAGAUCUAGAGCUGUGGUUUGUGUGAUCAGAUAUGUGAUUUGUGAUCAAACAAUGUGUGUUGUUCGUGAUCUUGAGGUGUAGAGCUGUGGUUUGUGGCCAUAAGACAAGUGUUGUUCGUGAUCUUAGGGUCUAGAGCUGUGGCUUGUGUGAUCAUCAGAUAUGUUAUUUGUGGUCAUGAGGUCUAGAGCUGUGGUUUGUAACCAUUACAAAGGUGUGGCUUGUGAACACAAGACAAGUGUUGUUCGUGAUCUUAGGGUCUAGAGCUGUGGCUUGUGUGAUCAUCAGAUAUGUUGUUUGUGAUCAUAACACAGGUAUUAUUUGUGAUCAUGAGGUCUAGAGCUGUGGUUUGUGACCAUUACAAAGGUGUGGCUUGUGAUCACAAGACAAGUGUUGUUCCUGAUUGUGAGGGGCACGGGGGUGGUUAAAACAUUCGCUUGUCACAACUAAAGUUCAAUUCCGUUAUUGGUACAAUGUUUGAAGCCCAUUUCUAGUGUCCCCUGCCGUCACGUGACAUUGCUGAAACAUUUCAAAUAGUGGUGUAAAACCUGACUCACUAACUCAUGAUCAUAAGGUUCAGAGGUGUGGUUUAUGAUCACAUGACAAGCUAGACUUAAGAUGAUAAAGUGUGGUUUCUGACAGUGACAGAAAUGGUUUAGAAAUAUGUAGAUAUGCAAUAUAAGUAACUUAAAUAAUGGUGGGAAUAAAUUAAAAUCUUGACAUAAUUGAUUAAUUAGAAAAUUCUUUACAAUGAACAUUUGACCAUGCAUGGAAAUAUUUCACUGUGUACCACGACUAUGUUGGUUAACCUAUUCUCAUGCUGUUACUUCCAGACACAUGUAAUAUAACACAGUGAAUAUAUCACAUAGAUGAGAGGUUAAAACAUACUGCUACAUAGAAUAAAGUUUUUUGCAUGCA